AUCUUCCACCAGACUCAGUCGAGGGCAGGAGACGAGAGGAGGCGUCAGCAUCUCUCACGCUCAGGCAGCAACACAUCUAUGAUCUAUAUGAUACAUUUCUGUGUAUAUGUCUCAGUUAUAUGGGGAGGGGGGGGGGGUUGUGAUGAGGGAUUUCUUUGGGGACAUUGUGACAGAAGCUCUGGAGGAAUGAAAGAAGUGGAUGAGUCACGCAGCCUCGUCUCAGCCUCUCAGAUGACGACGAGUGCGUCAGGAGAAUGACAAUCAGAGAACACACCGCCCUGACCCGGCCAGAGCGACGGCGCCCCCCGGUGGCGUGUACAUGAUGGUCUGGAAGUCUGAACCAGUGAUCUGUUCCACGCACGCCCACUGCUCCGACCUCCAGGCCGGACUACAAGUGACAGAAAGUUACAGCAGCAUGAGGAAAAUGACUGAUUCCCUGAACGCAGCCGUCGGAAUCCAACACUGGGUCGGUUCUGAUUUACACAUUUCCCUUCAGAUUAUCAUGCAAAUGUGUCAGAAUUGUUGUCGUGAAGGUUUCGUCUCCCUUCGGUGGAGAAAACAAAAGCCAGAUGGUUUAACGUUGUGUGAGGUGGCUCCGAGACGAACGGCAGCCUCCUGCUUCUGAAAGGAAAUAUCUCCCAGCAUGCUCGGAGGCCCAGGGGUACUUCAGCCGCGACAUGAUUAAUAACCCUGCACUUAAUAAUAGGCUUCAAAAAUAAUUAUAGGCGAUGGCUGGCUGGGGGAAGUGCCGCUUCUGAAUCAGAAUCAACAUAAUUACAGAGCACGAGGAACGUGGACAGAUCCGUGUUGGUGGGAUCACGACGGGAUCAGGGCGAGGACGGAGCCACAAUGAGUGGCCCCGGGGGUCGGGUCUUCAGUUCACAGAGGAGCAAAGACACCAGAACAUAUUCACAUUUAAGAAGCUGAAAUCAGAGAAGUUAGACAUUUCUUUUCAUAAAUCCUAUUAUUCUAAUAAUUGAUUAUGAAAAUAGUUUGGGGAGCUCGAAGAUAGGUGAGAAUAACGAGUCGCUGUCCGAGGAGCGGUGACGUGAAACAAGUGCAGAUUUUAUAAAAACACAAGGAUCCUACAACGCUUUACUAACUAACCACAUUUCAAAGACUUUACGCUUCACAGCAAACGGUUUUCCGUUUAGAGUUUUGAGGCUGAGCUUAGAGAGAGAACCUGCAGGGAGGACGAGGUCAGAGGCAGCUGCGUCGCACUGCGCCACGGGCCGAGGGACGACCUGCAGAGGAGGCCAGAGAUUUAGCUGCGAUUUCAUAGUUCAGACGUUCAUCAGUAGAGCCGGCGGCGCCGCCAGAAUAACAAGAGGCUUCUUCACCGAGUCGAGUGGCAGGAAGUGGCUGUCGUGUGACGAUGUGCACACUGAGCUCGGCGGAAGUAAACUGAGUCUUUAGCUUCAUCCAGUGUGAAUGGCGGGUUUCAUUUCUUAGACACCGUACUGAAGCCGGUUUGCAGCUCGAUGACGAGGACAAUCCAGCUUUUCAACCGACCGGACAUCAGGCACAACAAUUAGGAGAAAAGCACAGUUUGUAAUUUUUGUGCCGGUAGCUGCAGCUCAGUGUCCACCAGACCUCCCGUCUGACAGCGGUGAAACUCCUCCAGGAGACGCCGGCGACUCGCCGCAGACGUGACAGUCCUGUGCUCAUCAGGAUCGACUGCAGCAGCUCACUGGGUAUUUGUGUCAAUCAGCCCCCCGCCGAGACCGCUUGUUCCCCCGCCGCCACCGACGGAUUGGUCGGUCGUAACGGACUCCGUAACGGUCGGCGGCCCACAAACAAGAUGCUGUCCAGGACAGAAACCGUGAAACAAGACGAUGUUGACGUGACCAAGAGUGUGAACUUGAUGCCGUGUUAAGAACUGAAGCCCGGACGAUGUAUCGGUCGUCCGAUCAAACGGGCGAUAUGAGCCUUUCACAGACGUAGUAUCGGUAUCUGCUUCGGUGUUUGUAGACAUUUCGCCAAUAGUUGCGGUUUGCAACUUUAACCACCAGAAAUUACAAAAAUCACACACUGGGGCUUUAAUAUGUGUCGGAUGAUAUAUUGGUAUUGGAAAUCUUUUACUCGCCGAUAUCGGCAACUGCGUCCAAAAAGCCAUAUCGGUUGGACUCAACUCUGAAGGGUAAACGUUGGUGAAAUUAAAUCUUGUAACGGACAUGAACAAAACAAAACAAGACUCUCAGACGGAUGAAACGUUGGAAAGAAAAUCCUUGAAUCCCAUAUUUACGUGAUCGGAUCAGUGAGAGUGAAACAUGAGCUUUACUUUCCUGUGAAAAACAUGAAGCAACCUCAGGAAGCGUCUCAUUCAAAUCUCCAGGUGAAGGAGGAGAUUUGUUUCCAAAGGGAAACACUACAACAGCCUUGUAAAUGAACCUCACACACACGCACACUGAAAUAAAAACACUCUCAAACUGCUUGUUGCCUUGGAGAUGAAGGGACUCGUGUUCCGUCUCUCGCCUCUGCAGUUUGGAUUGAAAAGGAAAUGCAACAUGCGGAGUUAUUCAGGGGGCGAGGACACUGGAGUCCGACUCGUCGCGACUUCACUGCGGCCUCGUCAAGGGAAAGCUGUUCCUCCGUUCCGUGAGAGUUCUUGGAUGAAACAGUAGAUUAUGUGGGAGUAGUUAUUAUUAUUAUUUUGUCUGUAUAUGUUGCAGAAAGUCAUCAUGUCCAUAUCCUGACUUUAAAUAAAGGCAGCAUCAACCUCCAACCAGUACAUCAAGUCUUGGUUGAGCUGGUUGGACUCUU